rnacentral:rRNA from 1 species
AACCAGACUCCUACGGGAGGCAGCAGUGGGGAAUAUUGCACAAUGGGGGGAACCCUGAUGCAGCGACGCCGCGUGGGUGAAGGAGCACCUCGGUGCGUAAAGCCCUAUCGGCAGGGAAGAAACAGACGGUACCUGACUAAGAAGCCCCGGCUAACUACGUGCCAGCAGCCGCGGUAAUACGGAGGAUGCGAGCGUUAUCCGGAUUUAUUGGGUUUAAAGGGUGCGUAGGCGGAAUGCCAAGUCAGCGGUAAAUUCGGGGGGCUCAACCUCGCUCCGCCGUUGAAACUGGCGUUCUUGAGUGGGCGAGAAGUAUGCGGAAUGCGUGGUGUAGCGGUGAAAUGCGUAGAUAUCAGGAGGAACACCGGUGGCGAAGGCGGCCUGCUGGACUGCAACUGACGUUGAGGCCCGAAGGCGUGGGGAGCAAACAGGAUUAGAUACCCCUGUACA